rnacentral:tRNA from 1 species
GGAGGGAUCGGAUAGCGGUUUAUUCCACCGGCUUGGAAAGCCGUGCCUCUUAUGGGGCUCGUGGGUUCGAAUCCCACUCCCUCCGCCA